rnacentral:rRNA from 1 species
CCUACGGGUGGCAGCAGUGGGGAAUAUUGCACAAUGGGCGCAAACCUGAUGCAGCCAUGCCGCGUGUGUGAAGAAGGCCUUCGGGUUGUAAAGCACUUUCAGCGGGGAGGAAGGCGGUAAGGUUAAUAACCUCAUCGAUUGACGUUACCCGCAGAAGAAGCACCGGCUAACUCCGUGCCAGCAGCCGCGGUAAUACGGAGGGUGCAAGCGUUAAUCGGAAUUACUGGGCGUAAAGCGCACGCAGGCGGUCUGUCAAGUCGGAUGUGAAAUCCCCGGGCUCAACCUGGGAACUGCAUUCGAAACUGGCAGGCUAGAGUCUUGUAGAGGGGGGUAGAAUUCCAGGUGUAGCGGUGAAAUGCGUAGAGAUCUGGAGGAAUACCGGUAGCGAAGGCGGCCCCCUGGACAAAGACUGACGCUCAGGUGCGAAAGCGUGGGGAGCAAACAGGAUUAGAUACCCCGGUAGUC